GGUUUAUGGCUCAGUGGCAGAGUGCUUGCCUAGCACAUGCGAGGGCCUGGGUUCAAUCCUCAGCACCA
rnacentral:tRNA from 1 species